rnacentral:rRNA from 1 species
CGUUGGCGGCGUGGAUGAGGCAUGCAAGUCGAACGUGAAAACCUUCGGGUGAGUAGCGUGGCGGACGGGCGAGUAACACGUAAUCAAGCUGCCUGCUAGACGGGGAUAACUUCGGGAAACCGAUGGUAAGACCCGAUGGUCUCACGACAUCGCAUGGUGAUGUGAGUAAAUGGACGGGACCCUCCGGGGCCGCCUGCUAGCAGAGGUGAUUGCGGCCCAUCAGUUUGUUGGUAGGGUAAUGGCCUACCAAGACUACGACGGGUAGCCGGCCUAAGAGGGUGGUCGGUCGCACUGGGACUGAGACACUGCCCAGACUCCUACGGGAGGCUGCAGUCGAGAAUCUUCCGCAAUGGACGAAAGUCUGACGGAGCGACGCCGCGUGGAGGACGAAGGCCUUCGGGUUGUAAACUUCUGUCACGAGUUAAGAAGUCUGCAUGACGAAUAGUUGUGUAGAUUGACAAAGGCUCGAGAGGAAGCACUGGCUAACUCUGUGCCAGCAGCCGCGGUAAUACAGAGAGUGCGAACGUUGUUCGGAAUUACUGGGCUUAAAGAGUACGUAGGCGGCAUGACAAGUGUUAGGUGAAAUCCCACGGCUCACCCGUGGAACUGCCUAGCAAACUGUCGAGCUAGAGUGUGGUAGGGGAGAACAGAACUCAUGGUGGAGCGGUGAAAUGCGUAGAUAUCAUGAGGAAUACCGGUGGCGAAGGCGGUUCUCUGGUCCACAACUGACGCUGAGGUACGAAAGCUAGGGUAGCGAACGGGAUUAGAUACCCCGGUAGUCCUAGCCGUAAACGAUGGGCACUAGCUUGGG